AAAUUGAAGAGUUUGAUCAUGGCUCAGAUUGAACGCUGGCGGCAGGCCUAACACAUGCAAGUCGAGCGGAAACGAGUUAUCUGAACCUUCGGGGAACGAUAACGGCGUCGAGCGGCGGACGGGUGAGUAAUGCCUAGGAAAUUGCCCUGAUGUGGGGGAUAACCAUUGGAAACGAUGGCUAAUACCGCAUGAUGCCUACGGGCCAAAGAGGGGGACCUUCGGGCCUCUCGCGUCAGGAUAUGCCUAGGUGGGAUUAGCUAGUUGGUGAGGUAAGGGCUCACCAAGGCGACGAUCCCUAGCUGGUCUGAGAGGAUGAUCAGCCACACUGGAACUGAGACACGGUCCAGACUCCUACGGGAGGCAGCAGUGGGGAAUAUUGCACAAUGGGCGCAAGCCUGAUGCAGCCAUGCCGCGUGUAUGAAGAAGGCCUUCGGGUUGUAAAGUACUUUCAGUCGUGAGGAAGGUAGUGUAGUUAAUAGCUGCAUUAUUUGACGUUAGCGACAGAAGAAGCACCGGCUAACUCCGUGCCAGCAGCCGCGGUAAUACGGAGGGUGCGAGCGUUAAUCGGAAUUACUGGGCGUAAAGCGCAUGCAGGUGGUUUGUUAAGUCAGAUGUGAAAGCCCGGGGCUCAACCUCGGAAUAGCAUUUGAAACUGGCAGACUAGAGUACUGUAGAGGGGGGUAGAAUUUCAGGUGUAGCGGUGAAAUGCGUAGAGAUCUGAAGGAAUACCGGUGGCGAAGGCGGCCCCCUGGACAGAUACUGACACUCAGAUGCGAAAGCGUGGGGAGCAAACAGGAUUAGAUACCCUGGUAGUCCACGCCGUAAACGAUGUCUACUUGGAGGUUGUGGCCUUGAGCCGUGGCUUUCGGAGCUAACGCGUUAAGUAGACCGCCUGGGGAGUACGGUCGCAAGAUUAAAACUCAAAUGAAUUGACGGGGGCCCGCACAAGCGGUGGAGCAUGUGGUUUAAUUCGAUGCAACGCGAAGAACCUUACCUACUCUUGACAUCCAGAGAACUUUCCAGAGAUGGAUUGGUGCCUUCGGGAACUCUGAGACAGGUGCUGCAUGGCUGUCGUCAGCUCGUGUUGUGAAAUGUUGGGUUAAGUCCCGCAACGAGCGCAACCCUUAUCCUUGUUUGCCAGCGAGUAAUGUCGGGAACUCCAGGGAGACUGCCGGUGAUAAACCGGAGGAAGGUGGGGACGACGUCAAGUCAUCAUGGCCCUUACGAGUAGGGCUACACACGUGCUACAAUGGCGCAUACAGAGGGCGGCCAACUUGCGAAAGUGAGCGAAUCCCAAAAAGUGCGUCGUAGUCCGGAUUGGAGUCUGCAACUCGACUCCAUGAAGUCGGAAUCGCUAGUAAUCGUGGAUCAGAAUGCCACGGUGAAUACGUUCCCGGGCCUUGUACACACCGCCCGUCACACCAUGGGAGUGGGCUGCAAAAGAAGUAGGUAGUUUAACCUUCGGGGGGACGCUUACCACUUUGUGGUUCAUGACUGGGGUGAAGUCGUAACAAGGUAGCGCUAGGGGAACCUGGCGCUGGAUCACCUCCUUA
rnacentral:rRNA from 2 species